rnacentral:rRNA from 1 species
CACGUAGGCACCAAGCGUUGUCCGGAUUUAUUGGGCGUAAAGAGCUCGUAGGCGGUUCAUAAGUCGGGUGUGAAACUUUGGGCUCAACCCAAAGCGUGCAUUCGAUACUGUUGUGACUAGAGUUCGGUAGGGGAGUGGGAAUUCCUAGUGUAGCGGUGAAAUGCGCAGAUAUUAGGAGGAACACCGGUGGCGAAGGCGCCACUCUGGGC